CUUAUGCAUUUUGCUGUUGCCUGUCUCUUGAGGGAUGUGACAUUGUCCUUGUGACAAACCUACAAGAAACCUACAAGAAAUCCUCUUUUUCAGAUGAAGGCCAUUCAGCUAAGAAUCUGACACUGAAGCCCAUGCACAUGCCUCACCAUGUGGAUGCUUCAGAUCCUGGAGCUCUGACUCCCCGACCAACUCUGGUCCCAGGACAGGGUCAGGUUCUGCCGAGGAUAAAACAAAGAGACCAACUUUGCAGAGAGGGGAAUCUUUUGAAGCAUCACUUCCUUGAAGACAUUUCUCAGCUGUGGCUUGUGCCAAGCACUGGGAUAUAAAGAGUGAAGGCCCUCAAAGAGCUUGCAGCUGAGCAAGGGGAGAGAUGGCUGCCUCAGUGAAGGCUGAGGGUGCUGGGGACAGGACAUUGGUGUGGGUGCCCCUGUCCCACUCCUGCUGGCUGCUCUUCUCCUGGAGCUGACCAGUGAGAUUGCCAGCAGCUGAGAUUGCUUCCUGACUCCAGGCACUGGGGUUGACUCAGGGGCAGUGUGAGGCGGAUGCCAUGGGACAGGAUUGUCUGAGAGGAAGGCCUAGGUUCCUGGGGAGAAGCAAUCUCAUUUCCUUAUUUCUCCCACUGAGAGGCUACACAGCCCUCCUAAGAGCAAAGGGAGAUCCUGACCUGGUCUAUAGAAGCCUGAAAGGCCCCUGGAGGCAGAGGGUUGGAGGUGAGGUGGUCAGAAGGAAUGCAGG
rnacentral:lncRNA from 1 species